CAGCAAUGAGAUUGCUCAAUGCCUCAUCGCUGCUUGCUUCAAGAUGAAAAUUCACUGUGCUCCAAGAGCUAGAUGAGGCAACAGGGUGAAGAAUUGCAACCACAGGAGAAGACCAUAUCUUCUUCUGUACUGUUAUGUGGAAAGUGACCUGUUGUGUUUGUGGAAGCUUUGGAAUCCCGCAGGAGAAGGAUCACUGAGCACCAUGGCAGCCUGCCAAGUACAGCCUGUUCUGAAACACAGUGCUGGGAAGUUGCAUUAUCACCGAAGUGCAGUGUCAGCUUAGCAGGAGGUGGGUCAGGCCGGUGAUGAGCCCGUUGGUAGAGCAGCAAGCCCCUGGGUACGCUGCAUCUCUGCUGCCAGCUCUUCCUUUUCUUCCUACUCUGCUCUUCUCUCUGCCUGUCCUUGGAGGUGGCCCCUGCAGAGCUUAAAAUGCCACCCUCUUCUGUCACUGCACCGUGUUCAGCACCUGCUCUGUGCGCUGGCCACGCUCUAUAAGUGACAGUUUCUUAAAUUGCUAAGUUGUUCAUAAGUCAUAAAUUUUGUUCCAGUGAGAACAAGUGCUAAAAGUAUAAAAGGCACUAAUUUUAAUUUUAAUUUUAUUUCUGCUAUCCUAUGUCUUUGGUUUGUUUUAUGAAGUCAGAAAUCCUAAUAUUAUCUCAAACUCUACUAUGAUAAUAAAUCCAUACAAUCAAUACAGAAUAGACCAUAUAAAUAUUGCCUUCCAUAUUUAUGUAUUAGCUUUUACAAGUUAUUAUUGAUCAUAAUGAUUUUGAUAUAGUACAAUUUAUAAUUCCUUUUAACUGCUUUUGGAUAUAGUAUAAUCUGUCAGUUUUUGUGUGCACCAUAUAGCUUAUAUAAAUAGUAAUGUGAUAAAUGUAUUACAGCUUUAGCCUUAGCAGAAUAUUAAAAUAGAAAUUAUGUAAUGUCAAAAUGCUUUUAUUGAUGUAACUAACUCAGAGGAUGGUGUAAAAUAAUUAUGUUGUUUCUCACAUUUGUGAACUAUCUGAAUACAACAGUGACAAAAACCAGAGCACUGAGAGAAAAAUUUACUCUUCAUUAUCAAAACGUGUAAAAACAACUGGAUAGAACCACAAAAAGAAAUAAAAUGUAGAUCUAAACUACAAGAUGGCAUGCAGACAAGUCAAAGGUUAAAACCAAGAAAAAAAAGCUCCUAGAACAUCUAAACUCACAAGAAUAGUAGAAUAUGUAUAAACUCUCAUAAAUAUGAUUAACCCAUGUAAUGUAAAAAGUAUAUAAGAACACUGUUUUAAGCUAACAGGGUGUCUUUUACAAAUUGAC